CUCCACCAGUCCCUUCCCUACCACCACCCGUCCAAUCCCCACCACCACCUGUGCCCUCCCCACCCCCACCCGUCCACUCACCACCACCACCACCGGUUCCUUCACCCCCACCACCAGUAAAAUCCCCACCUCCACCGGUGCCCUCACCACCACCACCAUCGGUUCCUUCACCCCCACCACCAGUAAAAUCCCCACCUCCACCGGUGACCUCACCACCACCACCAUCGGUUCCUUCACCCCCACCACCAGUAAAAUCCCCACCUCCACCGGUGCCCUCACCACCACCACCUGUGCCAUCUCCACCCCCACCCGUCCGCUCCCCACCCCCACCUGUGCCCUCUCCACCCCCACCCGUCCUCUCCCCACCCCCAC
rnacentral:lncRNA from 1 species